rnacentral:lncRNA from 1 species
AUGGCAUAAACGAUAGUAAUAUUCAAGGGUUACGGGUGAAGAUGGCAGCAGAUAUCCUCGAGGAAGGAGGAAAUGUUGGAAUGAACAAUUUGUUGUCAAAAUGAAACUGUGUUUGUUUGUGAACCUGUGUUUGUUGUUAUGUUAACUAUUUGACUUUGGAUAUUAUAUGUCAGUCUUUUCGUUUUUAUAACCCAGCCCUGUCAUAGAUGAGUAACUAAGCCAAACCCCAAAUAGUCCCUAAAAACGAAAACUGCUGUAAUAACUCAGUCGUAUCGAUUAGUAAUACUCAGCCAGUACUCAUUGAUAACUCAGUCAUACCUCAAACAUACCCUAGAAUCAAAAUAAUUAAUAAUUUUUCAUUCGAAUGUUAUAUAUAAAGUCCAAUUAUCAAAAUAAUUAAUAAUAACUCAAUGUGUGAGCAUGAUCUUUGUUGACUAUACGAGUUUGGAAUCGAUUAUAAUCUUGAGGUAUAUGUUGUCUCUU